AAGAAAUUUAAUAAUUUUGAAAAUGGUUUUUUUUGUUUUGGCAAAGAGCAUGAGAGCUUUUACUGGGCAAGAAGACAAGAGAUGGAGAGUCCAGCCGGGCCUGCGCUUGAAGUGCGCGGUCUUGCUAGGCUUGUAAGUUUCUUUCUUGCUAUUCCAAACGGUGAGAGAUUUCUGUAGCUUUUGUUAUAGGACAAUUAAAACCGUUUCAAUACAACACACUGUGGAGUUUUCAUAUCUUUGCAACUUUUUCAUUUGGGCAAUUCGAGCAAUCGGGGCCCAGAGGUAACAAACACAAACAAUUUUAUCUAUUCAUUAAAUUUUUGUCAAAAACAAGAAUUUUCGUAACUGGAAAUUUUAAAAUAUUAAAAACUUUCAACAACGGAUCUCUUGGUUCUCGCAUCGAUGAAGAACGCAGCGAAAUGCGAUACGUAAUGUGAAUUGCAGAAUUCCGUGAAUCAUCGAAUCUUUGAACGCACAUUGCGCCCCUUGGUAUUCCAGGGGGCAUGCCUGUUUGAGCGUCAUUUCCUUCUCAAACAUUCUGUUUGGUAGUGAGUGAUACUCUUUGGAGUUAACUUGAAAUUGCUGGCCUUUUCAUUGGAUGAUUUUUUUCCAAAGAGAGGU
rnacentral:rRNA from 1 species